rnacentral:rRNA from 1 species
UACGGGGGGGGCAAGCGUUGUUCGGAAUUACUGGACGUAAAGCGUGCGCAGGCGGCUUUGCAAGACAGAUGUGAAAUCCCCGGGCUUAACCUGGGAACUGCAUUUGUGACUGCAUGGCUGGAGUGCGGCAGAGGGGGAUGGAAUUCCGCGUGUAGCAGUGAAAUGCGUAGAUAUGCGGAGGAACACCGAUGGCGAAGGCAAUCCCCUGGGCCUGCACUGACGCUCAUGCACGAAAGCGUGGGGAGCAAACAGG